rnacentral:misc_RNA from 1 species
GUGAAUUUUAGGGUGCUCUUCUCCUUCUUAACAAAGGGAAGAGGCCUGACCUCCACUCUCCAACACUGUGCACUUAUUGGCAUUAGGAACGACGGCUUAACGGCUUGACAUUCCUUCUGCGGCUUUAUUUCUUAACACUAGUCAAAGAAUGUAAAACAAAACCAUAACAAAAAA